rnacentral:rRNA from 1 species
GAGCGCGAAUAGGGGCAACCCUUAGUAGAGCGGCGCACGGGUGCGUAACACGUGGAUAAUCUGCCUGGAUGCCUGGGAUAACCAGUCGAAAGAUUGGCUAAUACCGGAUAAGCCCACGGUCUCUUCGGAGACUGAGGGAAAAGGUGGCCUCUGUAUACAAGCUAUCACAACCAGAUGAGUCCGCGGCCCAUCAGCUAGUUGGCGGGGUAAUGGCCCACCAAGGCGACGACGGGUAGCUGGUCUGAGAGGACGAUCAGCCACACUGGAACUGAGACACGGUCCAGACUCCUACGGGAGGCAGCAGUGGGGAAUUUUGCGCAAUGGGCGAAAGCCUGACGCAGCAACGCCGCGUGUGUGAUGAAGGUCUUUGGAUUGUAAAGCACUUUCGACCGGGACGAAACCGUAAAGCCUAAUACGCUUUGCCUUGACGGUACCGGGAGAAGAAGCACCGGCUAACUCUGUGCCAGCAGCCGCGGUAAUACAGAGGGUGCAAGCGUUGUUCGGAAUUAUUGGGCGUAAAGCGCGUGUAGGCGGCUUUGCAAGUCGGGUGUGAAAGCCCUCAGCUCAACUGAGGAAGUGCGCCCGAAACUGCAGAGCUUGAGUGCCGGAGAGGGUGGCGGAAUUCCCCAAGUAGAGGUGAAAUUCGUAGAUAUGGGGAGGAACACCGGUGGCGAAGGCGGC